CCCUUAGAUGAUUUGGGCUGCACGCGCGCUACACUGACCCUAACAAUGAGCAACUGUCUGGCCUGAGAUGGCUGGGUAGCCUUUUCAACCCAUGUCAUGAUUGGGCUAGAUUUUUGUAAGUCUUGAUCUCUAACGAGGAAUCCCUAGUAUGCGUGAAUCAUCAAUCCAUGCAGAUUAUGUCCCUGCCCUUUGUACACACCGCCCGCCGCUCCUACUGAUUGGGUGAUCCGGUGAGCUGUUCGGCCAUAGCAAUGUUUCUUGAGCAGGGCAAUGAAGGUUUCGCAAACCUUGCCACUUAGAGGAAGGAGAAGUCGUAACA
rnacentral:rRNA from 1 species